rnacentral:rRNA from 1 species
AAUCAACGCUGGCGGCGUGCCUCAGACAUGCAAGUCGAACGAUUAAAGCUCUCUUCGGAGAGUGUAUAGAGUGGCGCACGGGUGAGUAACACGUAAGUAAUCUACCUUUGAGUGGGGAAUAACCCGGGGAACCCGAGCUAAUACCGCAUAAUGCAGCGGCAUCGCAAGAUGACAGUUGUUAAAGGAGCAAUCCGCUUAAAGAGGAGCUUGCGGCAGAUUAGCUAGUUGGUAAGGUAAUGGCUUACCAAGGCUACGAUCUGUAUCCGGUCUAAGAGGACGGUCGGACACACUGACACUGAAUAACGGGUCAGACUCCUACGGGAGGCAGCAGUCGGGAAUUUUGGGUCAAUGGGCGAAAGCCUCGACCAGCAACGCCGCGUGAAGGAUGAAGUAUUUCGGUAUGUAAACUUACGAAAGAAUAAGGAAG